AUUGAACGCUGGCGGCAGGCUUAACACAUGCAAGUCGAGCGGGGUGAUGGUGCUUGCACUAUCACUUAGCGGCGGACGGGUGAGUAAUGCUUAGGAAUCUGCCUAUUAGUGGGGGACAACAUCUCGAAAGGGAUGCUAAUACCGCAUACGUCCUACGGGAGAAAGCAGGGGAUCACUUGUGACCUUGCGCUAAUAGAUGAGCCUAAGUCGGAUUAGCUAGUUGGUGGGGUAAAGGCCUACCAAGGCGACGAUCUGUAGCGGGCCUGAGAGGAUGAUCCGCGACACUGGGACUGAGACACAGCCCAGACUCCUACGGGAGGCAGCAGUGGGGAAUAUUGGACAAUGGGGGGAACCCUGAUCCAGCCAUGCCGCGUGUGUGAAGAAGGCCUUAUGGUUGUAAAGCACUUUAAGCGAGGAGGAGGCUCUUUUGGUUAAUACCCAAGAUGAGUGGACGUUACUCGCAGAAUAAGCACCGGCUAACUCUGUGCCAGCCGCCGCGGUAA
rnacentral:rRNA from 1 species